rnacentral:rRNA from 1 species
AUUGAACGCUGGCGGCAUGCCUUACACAUGCAAGUCGAACGGCAGCACGGGUGCUUGCACCUGGUGGCGAUUGGCGAACGGGUGAGUAAUACAUCUGAACAUGUCCUGUAGUGGGGUAUAGCCCGUCGAAAGCCGGAUUAAUACCGCAUACGAACUACUGAUGAAAGCUGGUGACCUUCUGGCCGCGCGCCUUGGGGUUAGCCGUUGGUGGAUUAGCUAGUUGGUGGGGUAAUGGCAUACCAAGGCGACGAUCAGUAGCUGGUCUGAGAGGACGACCAGCCACACUGGGACUGAGACACGGCCCAGACUCCUACGGGAGGCAGCAGUGGGGAAUUUUGGACAAUGGGCGAAAGCCUGAUCCAGCAAUGCCGCGUGUGUGAAGAAGGCCUUCGGGUUGUAAAGCACUUUUGUCCGGAAAGAACUCCUUGGCUAUAAUACAGUCGGGGGAUGACGGUACCGGAAGAAUAAGCCCCGGCUAACUACGUG